ensembl:lncRNA
UUUAUUUUCUGUAGAUGUACCACUAUUGUUAUCUGAAAUUUGCUGACGUACCAUGGGUGGCAGCCCCAAUCAGAGUUUGGAGGAACAGACACAUUUAUUUAAGGUUUAGAGUUCACUCAUUUAUAUAAAUCCUCAAUCUACAAUCACUGGACCAGAUUCUACAUAUACCAUGCACACACACACAUUACAACACAUGUGAUAAUAACAUUUCAGCUUUUUACAAAAUCCCAACAUGCUCACCUAUCAGACCUUCAUUUUUUGGGGUCGUACGUUCAGUGAAGUUAAAGACAACACUGCCUAAAUCCAAAUUCACACCGCAUCGCCUGCAGUGUGAACGUAGCAUAAGAUUCAUGUGUGAAAGUGUUCCCGCUGCUUUAAGUCUUGGCUCACAUCAACUUUAUCUGCUUUGAAGAAAACUGAAGUGUGUCUGGGUUCACCACAACUCAUGUUUUCCAUCAGACAUCUUAGUGAAACCCACAGAACCACAGGAGAAGAUCAAGUGAGACCAAAGCCACCUUCGGCAGAUAUAACACCACAUUUUGUGGUGGUUUAUUAGCCCUCCACCACAGGGAGCUUUAACACAAUCAGAUGUGUCUGUGAUGCAUUUAUUGUCCGUUUUCUUUUAAAGACAGUUUCAUCAGUAUGCAGAAACUCCCACACACUGUACAUGAAGACCGUUUAUUAAUGGAGUUUCCCUCAUAUCACCAAAUGUUGAUAUGCAUCUAUUAAAAUAAGAGUUUGACUUGUUAUAAUCUAUUCUAAGUCUCUUUGCAAAGUUGUAUCCUGUGGUUUUUUCCCCUUCAAGCAAACUUGUUAAACAUUUUAUAAAACGGGGUUAAAUUUUCACAUCAUAUUUUAUAAUGAACAAUGAUCCAUCGUGUAGAUACAGAAAAAGCUGAGUGCAGCUGUACCUGAAAUUUAUUUUGUCCAUUAAAUGAGUUGCAAUCAAAUCAGUUCUGCUGUCAACAGACAAACUUCACAGAAACUAAGAUUCAUGUGUGAAAUCGUUCCUGCUGUCUGUGGCUCACAGGAACUUUAUCUGCUUUGAAGAAAACUGAAGUGUUUUGGUUCAUCACAACAACUCAGGUUGUCCAUCAGACAUCUUUGUGAAACAAACAGAAGAUCAAGUGAGACCAAAGUUUAUUGAAACUGCAGAGAAACCAGAUCACUGCUGUGGAGACGACAGCACUUAGAAACAAAAUACAAAUAACAGUAAAAUUACUGAACACAUGGAAACACGACACAAUAACUUUAGUCAAUCCAGCUUCAUCAGAGCUUAUUGGAAAUUAUCCAGUUUAAUGUCUCAUUGUACUCUGAAAUGAAAGCACAGUACAAAUAAGCAAUUGGAGUUAAAAAAAGAAAUCAGAAUCAAUUUAAAGACAAAUGUAUUCUCAACUUCUCAAAGUAGCCACCUUUGGCAGAUAUAACAGCUGAACACAGCCAUGGCGGUCUUUCUACAAUGUUUGACACUUGUAGGUUGCUUUGCUUUCACUCUUCGGUCCAGUUCAUCCCAAAACAGCUUGAUGGGGUUUAAGUCUGGAGACCGUGCUGGCCACUCCAUAUUUUCAAGCUUACCAGAGGGUACCGCAUGGCGCUGCAGAAUGCUGUGUAACCAUUCUUUCGCCUACUCGAUGGCGUACACAGAUCCUGCGUGAUGAACCGAAGAUUUCAGAUUAUAAUUCAUCAGACUACAAGACCUACAUCUAAGUGUUAUGACGGUCUGUCUCUCCUCCAUUGUUAAUUACUUUUUCUCACCAUUUUCUGUAGCAACAAGGACAACACUGUUCCCCUGAUGCUCACGAGGCCAUGGUACACCAGUGUUCCAGCACUGCUUUUAUGCAGACAGAGGGGGCUGUGGGUAAUCCAGAAACAUUGGACCACCUCAGACACAGCACAGAUGUUUCCUUCAUCGUCCUUCUCACUCAUUUGAGCUUUUUUUCAUUUCUCUCACUGACACCAAGUAAAGCCCGCCCUCUUCCUCGGAGCACCUUUCUGUUGGUACAAAAACAGUAUAUAUAUAUUUAACAGGUUUUUAUUUGAAUUAAACCUAGGAGAAGUGAAAAAGUUGAUAUUUUCCAACAGAAAGUUCUUACUUUCUGGGACAGUGACUCGAACUUACAAGUAGAGUACAGAUCAACAUAGUCAGUCAUGUACGACAUGUGCAGAACAACUCAGUUUACUUGGUGAAUUGAAUGUCUGCAGAACGCAAAUAUGUGAAGAUUUACAAUAAGCCAAGCUGUGGAUCAUAUCUUUGCUGAAGGAAAAUACAGAAAACAGCAUUGCAAUGUGGAUGAGCCAGUUUCUGACGAGGAGGAUGAUAGAGAGCAUCAACACAGACACAUCUGAUGAGGAGGUCACAGGUGCUGAAGCUGCUUCUGCUGAAAUAUACAAAUCCAAAAGUGCAGCACCUCCUGGCUCACAUGGCAGCGCAUUAACCUGGGCUCACCAGGUUUGCUGUGACAAGAAUAAGUGUCUUUUUAUGCCAUUGACAAGAACGACAUCAUUGCUGUGACAAAUCUUGAAAGAAGAGAAGUUGAUGGCGACAUUUGGAAUGACACUGAUGUAUCUGUAGUGUACAGAUCCGAAUACAAGACCACUGAUAGUCUCUGGGAUUCGUUAAUUGGAUUAAAGCAUUCUGCAGUUUACACUCAGGAUUAAACAAAAUACUACAUAACAAAUAUCUAUAAAAUACCUGGAAUAUUCUCAAACAUUUCCAACAUCCCCACAUUAAAAACAAUAACCAACAAUAAUCCUAUAAAGAUAAAUGAAAUUCCCACACUUUCUACUCAUACCUUACCUCCUCCUCUAAGAAACCAAUAAACUGUUUGUGGGCCCCGGGGCAUCAUUUCCCCAAUAUUCCCGAUAUUUCACAAUAUCGGAACCAGGAAGCAGCAGGUGAGCAACAGUAUCAUUUAUAAUUGCUAACAUGAAAAUUAUACAACUUAGACGAGUUUGUAGAAUUUUGAUAUAGAUCUUUCUGUGCGUUUUUAUUGUAGACCAACACCGUAGUGAUGAGGUGCAGAUACCAAAGAAGACAAGUACGACUAGAACUUACACACACCGACCACGACCACCACGUAUACACUCAGCUGAAAACCUGUAAAUAAAAGGUUUUCCUAUAAACCUGUAAAUAAAGGUUUCAACAGUCCUCCAAUUACUGUCUGUUUACGUCACUGCCCAAUAAGCCUGCAGAAUAUAUUAAAGAUGUAAAAAGAGUCCGCCCGUUCCAAGCUCUUAGCUCUGAUCUUCAGAGGUGACAGCGUAGUCCAUUUCCAUGGAAAAUGCUCCUUCUGGUAAUACACGGCCAGCAAUCCAGGCAAAUCUGAUAUAUAAAUCAUGGCAGCUUGUGAUGCAUAAAACAGCUAUUCCUCAAAUCUACAGAUUUACACAGGUGAGCCUGUGAGUGGCAUCCUUGAGAAAAAUCAGGGAAAACAACUAGUCCUGGAACAUCUGGAAAUGUCAUUCCACAUAUUGAAUGGAAUAGUACUUACUUAUUUACACAUCUAUUUAGUUAUAGCUUAUCUCACUGGCUUUCUAGGUUAAUGCAGGACAAGAGCAGUGCCAGGAUUCUGACUUUGGAAACGCCAGACUGAUAUAAAAGUCUGUUUUUAACAUAUCAUUUCUAUGUAUUAAAAGCAGACAUAUGCACACAUGUAUAAAUCAAUAAAACAGCACCUGAUCUAUCAUUGUUAACUUUUGCUACUUAUUUAAACAGCAAAAUCCAAAGUGAAAUUAAAUACAGUCUUCCUUUAUUUUUUUUAUCAUUAUCAUUUAUUUUAAUAAUUACCGUCAUACUGGCCAGAAGUCUCUCAUCUAACGAGUGAGAGAAAAAGACUGGACUAAAAUCACAUCAUCAGAGAAAAAGUGACACUGCCAGCAGAAAUCCACACACUCACUUCAAGGCACAGACUCUGUUGGUUUUACAAAAUCACAGCAUCCUGGGACAAUUGAUGGGCAAAGCAAGGCUUCAUGAAACACUGAAACAUUUGAAGCAUUUCUGUUGGAAUUGCAUCAAAGUUUCUCAAAAAUCUGACUCAACAGUGACACCUGCUGGCUAAUUUGGCUUUCACCACAUCUUUAUGGCACUGUUGUGUGAAACUGUGAUGCAGACCAGUCCUGCACAAUUCCAAACAGACAAUUAUUAUACCAGACACUCAGUAAUUUUUGCCAAAUUUAUGGGCUGUUGAAAUUUGUGGUACGAACAAGAUUAAUAGACAGAGGGGCUUUUUUCUUUGUUUUGUGGUCCAGCUCCUCACUAGGGGGCAGUAUUGAUGCACCUCUAAGCUGGUUUGCCAACGAAGAAGAAGGAGGCGGCAAAACAAGGAAGUGCCUGUGCUUCAGAAGUGCCGGUCAACCGCGGUAUCGAGCCUCCUUUCUCUACACAGUUAUAACACUUAUCUUCAGCUUCACAGAAGAUACCAGUACGAGAUGGGGGGUUCCGGAAAGCUGUACUUUUUCCUCGGUGUUCUCCAUGUCUGCUAUGCCUCGUCUGCAGGUGAGAUUUCAGCCUUGAAGGCUAGCUUAGCUUAGCCGACACUACGCUCUUGAAUCUAUGAAUCAGAAAUUCAAUUGGCUCUUGACGUUGGUUCUGUAUUUUAUAAAACGGGCGUCUGCGAUCCGGGUCCGGAACCACCAGUUGUCCCAUAAGGACCCGGACCUACAGCCGUAACAAGAAACCAGAGUGGGGCAGCUUUUCUUGUUUUACAGUAUUAGCAGUGGCUUGACAAACGCAAAGCAAAUUAUUCUGUGCAAAAAAUAAAACGGACAGUAAUAAUAGAGCCCUUAUGGUCUGAAACGACUGACAGACUGGUACCGGUCCGAGGCCCGGGGGUUGGGGACCGCUGUUGUAAAAUACAAAUUGUAACCGCAGUUGAGCAUUUGAGUCUGUGAACCACAAAGUUACAGAUUCAUCAGAGAGAAGUCGCUCGCUCUUUGCACACCGCUGAUAUAAAGACAACUCAGCUCAUUUCUGCUCCGUUUCAGUAAAAUCCGUAUUACUGACGAGCAAUAAGAGGCCCUGCCUCUAAACACUCAGUGUGAGGACCGAGUUGAGCCAAAGCAGCUUUAAAAUGCUUGUGCAAAGAACCAUUACUCUAUCUGGUAAUGUUCCUCCCUCCUUUUAGGGAUAAGGAGCAAGACAAUUUUUUGAGGGGGUGCUAAGUUUAUACAAUUUGCAAUGAGUUGUGUGCCACGGGCUUUCAAAUUCAUAUUUAUGUGACUAGUUUAAAUAUUCUCCUCCUGAAACUCUUACAAACACCAUAAAACCAGCUGAAACAAUACAACAGUCAAACUGACGCUGAGUACAUCCAGCAGCUUUUUAAUCUCAGACAGGCUGUGUGCUGCUGUAGAUGUUAGUGAAUCUGGCCCUAAAUCUUCCUUUAAGAAUUCAAGUUAGAAUCAAAUGCCUGACAUCACACUACAAUCUGACACCACAGCUUUUGGCCAUCACAGAAAAAGGAAACACGAGUUCUGUCCAUCGUCUGUGACUCUGAAAUCUGAACCAUGAGACAAACAAGAGCAUCUCUACCUCUCAGCUCGGACUCUCUCUCUUCUCUCUGAUGAUGAUGAUUCGUCCAUGACGGACGUCCUCAGUUCUUCCUGCAGAUCCGCCACCGUCUACACAACAAAGUACAUACAGAUGACGUCAGUGCAGCAGGCACAGUCCUACUGAUACUGCUGCUGUUGUUUUAAUUAUAACACAAAAAUCAGUCACAUUAUUCAAUCUGGCCUAAUCAGAGUUCAGCACGCUGUUCAGGUGUGAGUCCUCUUAUUGGAGCACACCGGCUGAUGUUUGAGUGAAAGGGAAUUUUCCUUUCUUUAGUUUAAUAUUAGAAAAUGUUUGUUACCUCAAUAGUAGCAUCACACACCAUCUUAUACUUACUGGUUAUCUAUUAGUCAGUAAAAAUGUUUGCUGUAUGUUAAGAUUAAGACUAGGAUUAUUACAUUUUCUUUUUUAUACAUUAA